CUCCCACCCCAGCCUUAUGUGUACAGCCGGUUUGGGAACACAAGCCGACACGUCCUGGAGGAGGUUGUGGGCAGCCUGGAUGGAGCUGGAGGUCAAGGACAGGAUUGGGCAAACCUGGCUGCUGCUGAUGGAGCCAAAUACUGCUUGGCUUAUUCCUCUGGAGUGGGAGCAAUUCUGAACAUCUGUCACCUGCUGAAGACAGGAGACAAAAUUGUCUGCACACGUGAUGUCUAUGGAGGCACAAGAGAAUUACUCAACAAACUAAAAAAGGAGUAUAAGUUCAAAGUGGCUUUUGUUGACUGCAUAGACCCAAACAACCUAAAAGCUGAAAUUAC